AAAGCGUUCAGAAGACACACAUCAAAUAGCGGAUGAAGACAUAAUUUUAGCCAACUCUGAAGGUUUCGACGCACAAACAGAUUAGGAAGAGGCAACACCUAGAGAGCAAAAGGAGUUUAACAACUGGUUGUCAGUUUAGCGUAGGGAGCGCUCAAAGUAAACUUCUUUAUCCAAGAAGGGAAAGAUGCUCGGGCAGCCAAAGGUAUCCCUUAUGUACUUCAAAAGUAGCGGGCGCUAGGCGGGUGUUUCUGACAGCGUGGGCGGGGGCACGUGGGGCAUAAAGAGAGAAGGGGCUUGAGUGGUGAAAGAGUGUCCUGCUUCCUCCGAGAGCUUAGCUGGGGAGAAGAGCUGGGAGCGACUCGAGCUGAGGACGUGGAAGGGCCCGCUCCGGACACUGCGCUCCAACCAGGAGGAGCAGGAGGAGGAGGAGGAUGAACAAAAUGGCCGCCGCCACCAGCCAGGCAGGAAACAGGGCAGAGCGCAGGCGCGACCCG
rnacentral:lncRNA from 1 species